rnacentral:lncRNA from 1 species
UGCACCACUCAGCUAAUUUUUUUAAAAAGUUGGUUUUUUGGAGAGACUAGGUCUCAUUAUAUUUCCCAGGCUGGUCUCAAACUUCUGGGCUCAAACAAUGCUCCUGCCUCAGCCUCCCAAAGUGCUCAGACAGUAAAGCUUUUUGUAAUAAAACCGAAAUAACUCAGAACUGUAUCAAACAGAAAGUGAAAGUACAUGUUAGCCCCAUCUCUCCAAUUGAUAAUUAUUAACAAUUUGUUUUAUAUUCUUCCAUAUCUUUUUUCUAAAUCUAAUAGAUAAAAAGGAUCCUAUUUUAUUUACUAUUUUUUAACCUGGUGUUUUUUGUUUGUUUGUUUGUUUGAGACAGAGUUGCUUUGUUGCCCAGGCUGGAGUGCAGUGUGCGAUCUCGGCUCACUACAGCCUACACCUCCUGGAUUCAAGUGAUUCUCCUGCCUCAGCCUCCCGGGUAGCUGGGAUUACAGGCAUGUGCCACCAUGCCCAGCUAAUUUUUGUAUUUUUAGUAGAGACAGGGUUUCCCCAUGUUGGCUACGCUAGUCUCAAACUCCUGACCUCAGGUGAUCUGCCUGCCUCAGCCUCCCAGAAUGCUAGGAUUACCAGACGUGAAUCACUGCACCUGGCCUAACCUGUUUUUUUCUAUUAGUAAUAUAUCGUGAACAUAUUUUCAUAAUCAUUCAUAGUGAGCUACUAUUUUUUUCUGCAUAGUUGCAUGUCAUUCCAUUGUAUACAUGUGUUGUAAUUAGUUCAACUGCUAAAAUAUAAGAUCCAUGAAAAUAGGACAUUUUCAGAUUUAUUUGCUGCUCUAUCCUUAGGGGCUAGAACAGUGCUUGACACUUAGUAGGCACUGAACAAAUGGGAAUUAAUUAAUUAGUCAACUACUGAUAGACAACUGGUUUGAUUGUACCCCGGUACAUUACUAUUUUCACACUACCGUAAUUAUUUCCUUGAGAUAAAUUCCUAAAGAUGAAACUGCUGAGUCAAAAGGGAUGCAUAUUUUAAAAUGUUGCAACAUGUUGCCAAACUCCUCUGCAUUUAGCUUGUACUCUAUGAUAUUCCUACCCAUCUGUCAAUGAAAGCAUCUCUGUUCCCCACUGCCUCGCCAGCAUGAGUGUCAUUCCUCUCUGAUGUAAGUUGUGAUAGGAGAGUCAACUGUCUGUAAAUGUUGUAUAGGGGAACUGGAGAGUGGCUAUUUUGUGAAACUGGGCAGAAUGCAUAGAGUCUACCAGAUCCGCUUGAGAAAUUACUGUAAACAAAGAGUGCAUCAAUCAGGGGAAGGAAAGAGAAGACACGUUCAAAUUAGGUCAUUGAAGGAGGACUUGUUUGAUUUUUAUUUUAUUUGAUUAUUUUUUUAAGGCAGGGUCUCGCGCUGUCACCC